rnacentral:rRNA from 1 species
GACGAACGCUGGCGGCGUGCCUAACACAUGCAAGUCGAACGGGGUAGUUCCUUCGGGGACUACUUAGUGGCGAACGGGUGAGUAACGCGUGAGAAACCUGCCUUUCAGUGGGGGACAACAGUUGGAAACGACUGCUAAUACCGCAUAAUGUUAUUUGAGGGCAUCCUCGAAUAACCAAAGCUUAAUGUGCUGAAAGAUGGUCUCGCGUCUGAUUAGCUAGUUGGUGAGGUAACGGCUCACCAAGGCGACGAUCAGUAGCCGGUCUGAGAGGAUGAACGGCCACAUUGGGACUGAGAUACGGCCCAGACUCCUACGGGAGGCAGCAGUGGGGAAUAUUGGGCAAUGGGGGAAACCCGUAGACCCAACGCAAACGCCGCCGUGAAGGAAGAAGGCCUG